CUGGGCUUUUUCAUGUGAGAUGACUACUUCAGUGCAUCUUCUAACACAACCCAUUCCUUUGUAGAAUAGCUUAAUGUUGUUUGGAGUUGGAUUUCUUUUGUUUGCCAUGAAAGAGUCCCAAUUAACGCAGGAACUGAGCAUCGCGGUGCACAAAAUGACAAGGCUGUGGAGAUGACAGCGAUACAAAACGGAUGGAGCCUGGGUUCCUGAGUCACCAUGUGGAAGAGAGCCGCCAAACAAUGAGGAAUCUCUCUCUCUUUCAUGUUGAAUUAUGUGCAAGAAAUAAACUUCUCCUGGAUUCUUUAA